rnacentral:lncRNA from 1 species
AGUCCAGUCUCACUCCCACCAUGUCCCCGCAAACAGCACUGAAUUUAUUUCCAGGCAACCAGUGAGCAAGGCUGAGAACUUGUCCCAGGUUACGAGACUCCCAGGUACAGUCAUGUGCCGCAUAAUGACAUUCAGUCAAUGACAGACUGCAUAUAUGAGGUGGUCCUGUAAGGUGAUAAUGGAGCUGAAAAAUUCCUACUACUGAACGACAUCAUAGCCAUUGUAACAUCAUAGCACAACCAAUCACCUUUUCUAUAUUUAGGUACAACACUGAAGGCACCGCCCAUGAAAGAAACAACUGAUAGGCUGAACUCCAUUAAAAUUAAAAGCUUUUGCUCUGCAAAUACAAGAGAAUGAGAACACAAACCAUAAGGAGUUCAUAUGCUGGAAUGAUAGUGACACAGGAGUUUAACACUCCUACAGUAUCCAGAGCCUGGAUCCCUGAGUCAUCAGAUGGAGAAGAACUACUCAGGAGAGUCAUCCAACCUUCAUAGACAGUGGCAUGAGUGGGAAUUAAACAUUGAUUAUGUUAA